UACGUAGGGGGCAAGCGUUGUCCGGAUUUACUGGGCGUAAAGAGCGCGUAGGCGGAAGUUUAAGCGGUGCUUGAAAGCCCCCGGCUUAACUGGGGAGGGUCAUUCGAUACUGAUCGACUUGAAGGCAGGAGAGGGAAGUGGAAUUCCCGGUGUAGUGGUGAAAUGCGUAGAUAUCGGGAGGAACACCAGUGGCGAAGGCGACUUCCUGGCCUGUUCUUGACGCUGAGGCGCGAAAGCUAGGGGAGCAAACGGG
rnacentral:rRNA from 1 species